UUAAGCGACUAAGCGUACACGGUGGAUGCCCUGGCAGUCAGAGGCGAUGAAGGACGUGCUAAUCUGCGAAAAGCGUCGGUAAGGUGAUAUGAACCGUUAUAACCGGCGAUGUCCGAAUGGGGAAACCCAGUGCAAUUCGUUGCACUAUCGUUAACUGAAUACAUAGGUUAACGAGGCGAACCGGGGGAACUGAAACAUCUAAGUACCCGAGGAAAAGAAAUCAACCGAGAUUCCCCCAGUAGCGGCGAGCGAACGGGGAGCAGCCCAGAGUCUGAAUCAGCUUGUGUGUUAGUGGAACGGUCUGGAAAGUCCGACGGUACAGGGUGAUAGUCCCGUACACCAAAAUGCACAGGCUGUGAACUCGAAGAGUAGGGCGGGACACGUGGUAUCCUGUCUGAAUAUGGGGGGACCAUCCUCCAAGGCUAAAUACUCCUGACUGACCGAUAGUGAACCAGUACCGUGAGGGAAAGGCGAAAAGAACCCCGGCGAGGGAGUGAAAAAGAACCUGAAACCGUGUACGUACAAGCAGUGGAGCACCUUCGGGUGUGACUGCGUACCUUUGUAUAAUGGGUCAGCGACUUAUAUUCUGUAGCAAGGUUAACCGUAUAGGGGAGCCGCAGGGAAACCGAGUCUUAACUGGGCGUUAAGUUGCAGGGUAUAGACCCGAAACCCGGUGAUCUAGCCAUGGGCAGGUUGAAGGUUGGGUAACACUAACUGGAGGACCGAACCGACUAAUGUUGAAAAAUUAGCGGAUGACUUGUGGCUGGGGGUGAAAGGCCAAUCAAACCGGGAGAAUAGCUGGUUCUCCCCGAAAGCUAUUUAGGUAGCGCCUCGUGAACUCAUCUUCGGGGUAGAGCACUGUUUCGGCUAGGGGGUCAUCCCGACUUACCAACCCGAUGCAAACUACGAAUACCGAAGAAUGUUAUCACGGGAGACACACGGCGGGUGCUAACGUCCGUCGUGAAGAGGGAAACAACCCAGACCGCCAGCUAAGGUCCCAAAGUCAUGGUUAAGUGGGAAACGAUGUGGGAAGGCACAGACAGCCAGGAUGUUGGCUUAGAAGCAGCCAUCAUUUAAAGAAAGCGUAAUAGCUCACUGGUCGAGUCGGCCUGCGCGGAAGAUGUAACGGGGCUAACCAUGCACCGAAGCUGCGGCAGCGACACUAUGUGUUGUUGGGUAGGGGAGCGUUCUGUAAGCCUGCGAAGGUGUGCUGUGAGGCAUGCUGGAGGUAUCAGAAGUGCGAAUGCUGACAUAAGUAACGAUAAAGCGGGUGAAAAGCCCGCUCGCCGGAAGACCAAGGGUUCCUGUCCAACGUUAAUCGGGGCAGGGUGAGUCGACCCCUAAGGCGAGGCCGAAAGGCGUAGUCGAUGGGAAACAGGUUAAUAUUCCUGUACUUGGUGUUACUGCGAAGGGGGGACGGAGAAGGCUAUGUUAGCCGGGCGACGGUUGUCCCGGUUUAAGCAUGUAGGCUGAUUGUCCAGGCAAAUCCGGAUAAUCAAGGCUGAGGUGUGAUGACGAGGCACUACGGUGCUGAAGUAACAAAUGCCCUGCUUCCAGGAAAAGCCUCUAAGCAUCAGGUAACAUCAAAUCGUACCCCAAACCGACACAGGUGGUCAGGUAGAGAAUACCAAGGCGCUUGAGAGAACUCGGGUGAAGGAACUAGGCAAAAUGGUGCCGUAACUUCGGGAGAAGGCACGCUGGUGGUGUAGGUGAAGUCCCUGCGGAUGGAGCUGAGACCAGUCGAAGAUACCAGCUGGCUGCAACUGUUUAUUAAAAACACAGCACUGUGCAAACACGAAAGUGGACGUAUACGGUGUGACGCCUGCCCGGUGCCGGAAGGUUAAUUGAUGGGGUUAUCCGUAAGGAGAAGCUCUUGAUCGAAGCCCCGGUAAACGGCGGCCGUAACUAUAACGGUCCUAAGGUAGCGAAAUUCCUUGUCGGGUAAGUUCCGACCUGCACGAAUGGCGUAAUGAUGGCCAGGCUGUCUCCACCCGAGACUCAGUGAAAUUGAACUCGCUGUGAAGAUGCAGUGUACCCGCGGCAAGACGGAAAGACCCCGUGAACCUUUACUAUAGCUUGACACUGAACAUUGAGCCUUGAUGUGUAGGAUAGGUGGGAGGCUUUGAAGCGUGGACGCCAGUCUGCGUGGAGCCAACCUUGAAAUACCACCCUUUAAUGUUUGAUGUUCUAACGUUGGCCCCUUACCGGGGUUGCGGACAGUGUCUGGUGGGUAGUUUGACUGGGGCGGUCUCCUCCCAAAGCGUAACGGAGGAGCACGAAGGUUAGCUAAUCCUGGUCGGACAUCAGGAGGUUAGUGCAAUGGCAUAAGCUAGCUUGACUGCGAGCGUGACGGCGCGAGCAGGUGCGAAAGCAGGUCAUAGUGAUCCGGUGGUUCUGAAUGGAAGGGCCAUCGCUCAACGGAUAAAAGGUACUCCGGGGAUAACAGGCUGAUACCGCCCAAGAGUUCAUAUCGACGGCGGUGUUUGGCACCUCGAUGUCGGCUCAUCACAUCCUGGGGCUGAAGUAGGUCCCAAGGGUAUGGCUGUUCGCCAUUUAAAGUGGUACGCGAGCUGGGUUUAGAACGUCGUGAGACAGUUCGGUCCCUAUCUGCCGUGGGCGCUGGAGAAUUGAGGGGGGCUGCUCCUAGUACGAGAGGACCGGAGUGGACGCAUCACUGGUGUUCGGGUUGUCAUGCCAAUGGCACUGCCCGGUAGCUAAAUGCGGAAGAGAUAAGUGCUGAAAGCAUCUAAGCACGAAACUUGCCCCGAGAUGAGUUCUCCCUGAGACUAUAAGUCUCCUGAAGGAACGUUGAAGACGACGACGUUGAUAGGCCGGGUGUGUAAGCGCAGCGAUGCGUUGAGCUAACCGGUACUAAUGAACCGUGAGGCUUAACCUU
rnacentral:rRNA from 1 species